AUAAUCUCAGCUAUGUGUGGUGCAUUAUUCUAGUCAUAACACUAUAUGAAGAUGGGGCUAAAAAUCCAUCAAUUACAUUACCGACACUUCUUAUAUUUGCUUUAUCGGCCCAAGUUAGGGUGAGUAUAAGAUUUAAAAUUUAAGGAAAGUUAUAAUGGCAUAUAACCUACAAUCCUUUCAUUGCGUCAUUUUUAAGUUUCGUAUGUCGUGCGUGAAUAUUAGGAAUACUACAAGUUGAAAUAAUAUUUGCAAAAGCGAAUAAGUAUAGUUACUUAUGUCAGGGAAAACCUCUAGACUGUCUAUAUUAAGAGUAUUGAAGUGCGGACUAAGUGGCAAUCGAGUAAUUAAUGAAAUAAAUAUUAAUUAAAUAUCCUAAAGACGAAAGUGCCAAUGAGUAAUCAAGUGGAAGAUAUUUAGAGAAACUCAACUCGACCUCAAGCCGUAAAAUUAACUUUUGAUAUACCAUGCAAAAAUUAGAAUAU
rnacentral:sRNA from 1 species